UACGUAGGCAGCAAGCGUUGUUCGGAGUUACUGGGCGUAAAGGGUGCGUAGGCGGUCCUGUAAGUAUGGUGUGAAAUCUCCCGGCUUAACUGGGAGGGUGCGCUAUAGACUGCGGGACUAGAGGGUGGGAGAGGAAAGUGGAAUUCCUGGUGUAGCGGUGAAAUGCGUAGAUAUCAGGAGGAACACCGGUGGUGUAAACGGCUUUCUGGACCAUUUCUGACGCUGAGGCACGGAAGCGUGGGUAGCAAACAGG
rnacentral:rRNA from 1 species